UGGGACUCACUUGAUGGUCAUGAUUGUAGA
rnacentral:piRNA from 1 species